rnacentral:rRNA from 1 species
UGGGGAAUAUUGGACAAUGGGGGGAACCCUGAUCCAGCCAUGCCGCGUGUGUGAAGAAGGCCUUAUGGUUGUAAAGCACUUUAAGCGAGGAGGAGGGUACUGGUAUUAAUACUACCAGCUACUGGACGUUACUCGCAGAAUAAGCACCGGCUAACUCUGUGCCAGCAGCCGCGGUAAUACAGAGGGUGCGAGCGUUAAUCGGAUUUACUGGGCGUAAAGCGUGCGUAGGCGGCUAAUUGAGUCGGAUGUGAAAUCCCCGAGCUUAACUUGGGAAUUGCAUUCGAUACUGGUUAGCUAGAGUGUGGGAGAGGAUGGUAGAAUUCCAGGUGUAGCGGUGAAAUGCGUAGAGAUCUGGAGGAAUACCGAUGGCGAAGGCAGCCAUCUGGCCUAACACUGACGCUGAGGUACGAAAGCAUGUGGAGCAAACAGG